UUACGGACAUACCACGUUGAAACAGCGGUUUUCAUAUGGUCGCCGAAGUUAAGCAACGUCGAGCCUGGUCAGUAACUAGAUGGGUGACCGUUUGGGAACACCAGGUACUGUAAG